rnacentral:misc_RNA from 1 species
UCCUGGUUAACCCAGGCAGUCUCAUUAGAGUUCCCACCUUUACGUGUUGGCAACUAAUGAUAAGGGUUGCGCUCGUUGCGGGACUUAACCCAACACCUCACGGCACGAGCUGACGACAGCCAUGCAGCACCUGUGCAGAUGUCCCGAAGGACAUAUCCAUCUCUGAAUACUUCAUCUGCAUGUCAAGCCUGGGUAAGGUUCUUCGCGUUGCAUCGAAUUAAACCACAUACUCCACUGCUUGUGCGGGUCCCCGUCAAUUCUUUUGAGUUUCACCCUUGCGAGUGUACUCCCCAGGCGGUAUACUUAACACGUUUGCUACGGCACAGCCAGGGUUGAGUCCAGCUACACCAAGUAUACAUAGUUUACAGCAAGGACUAC